GUAAGAAUGCCAGAGUUGGAUGGGGUUGGUUUAGGACUAGUUAACGAUAUUUUUAUCUUCUUAUU
rnacentral:tRNA from 2 species